rnacentral:rRNA from 1 species
GAUGAACGCUGGCGGCGUGCCUAAUACAUGCAAGUAGAACGCUGAAGGAAGGAGCUUGCUCUUUCCGGAUGAGUUGCGAACGGGUGAGUAACGCGUAGGUAACCUGCCUGGUAGCGGGGGAUAACUAUUGGAAACGAUAGCUAAUACCGCAUAACAGUAGAUGUUGCAUGAUAUCUACUUAAAAGGUGCAAUUGCACCACUACCAGAUGGACCUGCGUUGUAUUAGCUAGUUGGUGAGGUAACGGCUCACCAAGGCGACGAUACAUAGCCGACCUGAGAGGGUGAUCGGCCACACUGGGACGGGGACACGGCCCAGACUCCUACGGGAGGCAGCAGUAGGGAAUCUUCGGCAAUGGACGGAAGUCUGACCGAGCAACGCCGCGGGAGUGAAGAAGGUUGUCGGAUCGUAAAGCUCUGUUGUAAGAGAAGAACGAGUGUGAGAGUGGAAAGUUCACACUGUGACGGUAUCUGACCAGAAAGGGACGGCUAACUACGUG